GGGGGGGGCUAGCGUUGUUCGGAAUUACUGGGCGUAAAGGGCGCGUAGGCGGUCUGCUAAGUUGGAUGUGAAAACUCUGGGCUUAACCCAGAGCCUGCAUUCAAUACUGACAGGCUAGAGUUCUGGAGGGGACAGCGGAAUACUUGGUGUAGCAGUGAAAUGCGUAGAUAUCAAGUGGAACACCAGUGGCGAAGGCGAAUCCCUGGAAAAUACCUGACACUGAGGCACGAAAGCUAGGGGAGCAAACAGGAUUAGAUACCCUGGUAGUCCUAGCCCUAAACGGUGCUUGCUUGCUGUAAGAGGAAUCGACCCCUCUUGUGGCGGAGCUAACGCGUUAAGCAAGCCGCCUGGGAAGUACGGUCGCAAGAUUA
rnacentral:rRNA from 1 species